AGAGCACGACAACCAUCUGUUUUGGGUGUAAGAAAUUUGAUGAAACUCGAUUCUAGUACGAAAGGACCGGAAUGUGGAAACCACUGGCUAGUUAGUCAUUGG
rnacentral:rRNA from 1 species